GUGUGAGAAUUCCUGGCCAGUUGAAGGGUCAGGGCCUGUGCGUUAUCUGACUGCCAGCAAGAUCACUGGUGUGUCCUCUUAUUUUUAACUUAAAAUAGGAAAAAAAAAAGUGCAUCUUUACAUAUUAAAAAAUCUUCAGGAAUUUUACUGGGAUAAUUAUCCAAAUAAAUUGCAAGCAUUCUAUCCAAAUGGAGCUCUUUCUGAGAUGAAGAGAAUUCUCAAUGUCAAGAUUUGAACAAGAAGAGAAUGGAAUACACAAUAUGGACAUCCAUAAAAAUUCAUCAGAGAGCAUUUUACUACUGAGCUGCAAAGGGAAAAACUUAAAAUGGAUAUGAAAAGUGAAGAAAGUGAUCAUAGGAGAAAACCAUUUCAGGUGUCUGAUGAUUUGUGAGCCUCAAGUGACUACUCUGUGGAAUCAUCUGUCCUUGCCUUUGAAUUAGCUUUCCCUAGGCCAUGAGUCAACAUUAGUAGUUUAUACAUCCAAAUUGAUGACAAGAGCACCUCAAAGGCAGCAGCCUCAAGGAGCAGCCAUGGCCCCAGACUUGUCGCACGGAUGCAGAAAACUUAAUGGAGGAGGCUGAGGUCAGAAUGGGAAGAGUUUUUAAAAAAUAAAAAGGGGAGCUAAUA
rnacentral:lncRNA from 1 species